UGAUGUGUUUGUUUUUGUUGCAGGAAAAGUUGGCAUAUUUUAGAAUAAAAGAGCUUAAGGAUGUUCUCACUCACUUAGGUCUUUCAAAGCAGGGGAAGAAGCAGGACCUUGUUGACCGGAUAUUGGUUGUUUUAUCUGAUGAUCAAGUUUCUAAAUUGUGGGCAAAGAAGAAUGCUGUGGGGAAGGAACAGGUGGCACAGCUUGUAGAUGACAUAUAUAG